GCUUUCGGUAACACGUAACGAUGACAGUUACACCUUCAAACGUUUAAAAUUUUCGACGUUUUAUAGCUUUUUUUUUGCUUUUUUUUUUUAAAUAAAAACAUUUGUAACAAACAUCGCGAAAUCCACAAUCUCGUGCACGGCAAAAAUUGCGCUGGUAAAAAAAGUGCGUCACGCGACGCGACUGGCGCCAACCCGCGCCAGCGGAUCCGAUAGAAUGGCAAAGCAAGGGACCAAGGAGAAAAACUAACCUCGCACGCGCCUCAAGUUCGAGUUCACGUCUUCUUGACCAGCAGUCAAGUCCGCGGUCUGCCCGUCCUCGUGUCCGCCGCCCAAGCCUCCCUGCUGUCCGGCCAAGAAGAGAGCAGCAACAGCGCCCAAAGCGAUGGCUUGUCCUCCGAAGAAGAGGUGCAAGCCGAAGCCACCUCAGGUCAAUGGCUUCAUCAUCUUCUUCCUGGAGGUGCUGAAGAGGAAUCCGAACGCCUGCGUGGUUAAUAUCGCCAAGGAGGCCGGCAAGUGCUGGCGCAACAUGACGCGCGCCCAGCGCUGCGUAUACAUUAUGAGGGCCAAGAGGCGCAAAUACGCGAAAUGAUUGAAAGGUCUCGUUGCCCCGUUGUCGAGGCGGCAGGGACACCCCCUGAUCGGCGCUGGGUGAUACCAAGGUCUCUCUUUCAGUCGUCCAAUCAGUUGUCCAAGUUCUCUCAAGCGUGCGUGAAAGGACGCGAUGUCAAGUUGAAAAUUCAGCCCGAAACACAAAGUUUUAUCAAGAUCCCCAGCCGAGACGAGAAUAGCCCAAGAAAUUUUCACCAAGCAGCAGUGGCAGCGCAGCGCUGAGCGUCGCACACACACAUACUCAACAACACACACACAUAUCCACACAAAUAUUUCUUAUUGUACUCUUUGCUUCUGUACAAUGCAACGUCACACGCGUCACCUUUUUUCUUAUUCUUCUUCAUCGAUAUAAGCGAAC